rnacentral:rRNA from 1 species
GACGAACGCUGGCGGCGUGCUUAACACAUGCAAGUCGAACGGAAAGGCCUUUUCGGAGGUACUCGAGUGGCGAACGGGUGAGUAACACGUGGGUGAUCUGCCCUGCACUCUGGGAUAAGCCUGGGAAACUGGGUCUAAUACCGGAUAGGACCGCACUUUAGUGUGUGUGGUGGAAAGUUUUUUCGGUGUAGGAUGAGCCCGCGGCCUAUCAGCUUGUUGGUGGGGCAAUGGCCUACCAAGGCGGCGACGGGUAGCCGGACUGAGAGGUUGGUCGGCCACAUUGGGACUGAGAUACGGCCCAGACUCCGACUGGAGGCAGCAGUGGGGAAGAUUGCACAAUGGGCGCAAGCCUGAUGCAGCGACGCCGCGUGGGGGAUGACGGCCUUCGGGUUGUAAACUCCUUUCGCCAGGGACGAAGCGUUUUGUGACGGUACCUGGAGAAGAAGCACCGGCUAACUACGUG